rnacentral:rRNA from 1 species
GACGAACGCUGGCGGCGUGCCUAAUACAUGCAAGUCGAACGCUUCUUUCCUCCCGAGUGCUUGCACUCAAUUGGAAAGAGGAGUGGCGGACGGGUGAGUAACACGUGGGUAACCUACCCAUCAGAGGGGGAUAACACUUGGAAACAGGUUCUAAUACCGCAUAACAGUUUAUGCCGCCUGGCAUAAGAGUGAAAGGCGCUUUCGGGUGUCGCUGAUGGAUGGACCCGCGGUGCAUUAGCUCGUUGGUGAGGUAACGGCCCACCAAGGCCACGAUGCAUAGCCGACCUGAGAGGGUGAUCGGCCACACUGGGACUGAGACACGGCCCAGACUCCUACGGGAGGCAGCAGUAGGGAAUCUUCGGCAAUGGACGAAAGUCUGACCGAGCAACGCCGCGUGAGUGAAGAAGGUUUUCGGAUCGUAAAACUCUGUUGUUAGAGAAGAACAAGGACGUUAGUAACUGAACGUCCCCUGACGGUAUCUAACCAGAAAGCCACGGCUAACUACGUG